GCCGGGUGUGGUGGCUCACGCCUGUAAUCCCAUCACUUUGGGAGGCCGAGGUGGGUGGAUCACCUGAGGUCAGGAGUUUGAGACCAGCCUGGCCAACAUGGUGAAACCCCAUCUCUA
rnacentral:SRP_RNA from 1 species